GUUGCCCUGGGUGCCGUUCGACCCCAAACCCUAAUUACAUUUAAGAAGUCUUCUGAGUAAACCGAUUAAAUAAAUCAAAACUUUCAACAACGGAUCUCUUGGUUCUGGCAUCGAUGAAGAACGCAGCGAAAUGCGAUAAGUAAUGUGAAUUGCAGAAUUCAGUGAAUCAUCGAAUCUUUGAACGCACAUUGCGCCCGCUAGUAUUCUGGCGGGCAUGCCUGUCCGAGCGUCAUUUCAACCCUCAAGCCCCCGGGCUUGGUGUUGGGGAUCGGCGAGCCUCCGCGCCCGCCGUCCCCUAAAUCUAGUGGCGGUCUCGCUGUAGCUUCCUCUGCGUAGUAGCACACCUCGCACUGGGAAACAGCGCGGCCACGCCGUUAAACCCCCAACUUCUGAACGUUUGACCUCGGAUCAGGUAGGAAUACCCGCUGAACUUAAGCAUAUCAAUAAGCGGAGGAAG
rnacentral:rRNA from 1 species